UACGUAGGGGGCAAGCGUUGUCCGGAUUUAUUGGGCGUAAAGAGCGUGUAGGCGGCUAGGUAGGUCCGUUGUGAAAACUCGAGGCUCAACCUCGAGACGUCGAUGGAAACCAUCUGGCUAGAGUCCGGAAGAGGAGAGUGGAAUUCCUGGUGUAGCGGUGAAAUGCGCAGAUAUCAGGAGGAACACCGGUGGCGAAGGCGGCAUCCUGGACCGACACUGACACUGAGGAGCGAAAGCCAGGGGAGCAAACGGG
rnacentral:rRNA from 1 species